rnacentral:rRNA from 1 species
AACGAACGCUGGCGGCAGGCUUAACACAUGCAAGUCGAACGGUUGUAGCAAUACAGCAGUGGCGCACGGGUGAGUAACGCGUGGAUAUCUGCCUUUUGGUUCGGAAUAACUCCGGGAAACUGGAGCUAAUACCGGAUGGUUCCUACGGGAUAAAGAUUUAUCGCCAAAAAGAUGAGUCCGCGUACGAUUAGCUAGUUGGUGAGGUAAUGGCUCACCAAGGCGACGAUCGUUAGCUGGUCUGAGAGGACGAUCAGCCACACUGGGACUGAGACACGGCCCAGACUCCUACGGGAGGCAGCAGUGGGGAAUAUUGGGACAAUGGGGGCAACCCUGAUCCAGCCAUGCCGCGUGAGUGAUGAAGGCCUUCGGGUUGUAAAGCUCUUUUGGUCGGGGACGAUGAUGACGGUACCCGCAGAAUAAGCCCCGGCUAACUUCGUGCCAGCAGCCGCGGUAAU